UCCCUGGAGGACUAGUGGUUAAGCCACAGCACUCUCACCGCUGCGGCCCGAGUUCGUUUCCUGGCCAGGGAA